rfam:Streptomyces sp. WAC00263 NODE_4316_length_531_cov_4.028249, whole genome shotgun sequence.
GCGAGACAGGGGGGCCUGUGGGUGAGUGCGACCGAUAAACUGUUCUCGGACGACGCCGAGCGCAGCUCUCGUCCCGUCCACCAAUGAUCAGCCAGCAGCCGCUGCAACCACAGGGAG